rnacentral:rRNA from 1 species
AUUGAACGCUGGCGGCAGGCCUAACACAUGCAAGUCGAGCGAGCGGCGGACGGGUGAGUAAUGUCUGGGAAACUGCCUGAUGGAGGGGGAUAACUACUGGAAACGGUAGCUAAUACCGCAUACCAUCAGAUGUGCCCAGAUGGGAUUAGCUGGUAGGUGGGGUAACGGCACACCUAGGCGACGAUCCCUAGCUGGUCUGAGAGGAUGACCAGCCAAACGGGAACUAAGACAGGGUCCAGACUCCUACGGGAGGCAGCAGGGGGGAAUAUUGCACAAUGGGCGCAAGACUGAUGCAGCAAUGCCAGGUGUGUGAAGAGGGCCUUCGGGUUGUAAAGAACUUUCAGCGGGGAGGCGUUACCCGCAGAAGAAGCACCGGCUAACUCCGUGCCAGCAGCCGCGGUAAUU